ensembl:lncRNA
CGGAAUCUCACCGCAAGAAGCCUCCAGCGCAGGAGCGGUCCCCUGGCACCCAGGAUGUUUAUUGACCUUCCUGGCCCCCAUGGCGUCCCCGUAUCGGGGCUUGUGCCCACCACCGCCAACACCCAGAGCCACAAAUGGCCCGGGAGAGCACUUUCCCGCCGUGUACCGGUGCCUCCACGGCUCUCACAUGCAACUUGCUGUGCCCAGCUUCCCCCCUCGGGGACCGAGGGCACUUCUGUGCCCGGAGACACCACCAGCCAUAGAGGCCAGGGAAGGACACCACAUGAGGCAAGACCGGUUAGGUUCUAAACAGGGCAAGAAUACUGGAAUGGGUUGCCAUUUCCUCCUCCAAGGGAUCUUCCCAACCCAGAAAUAGAACCUGUGUCCCCUGUCUCCUGCUUGGCAGGUGGAUCAUUACCACUGAGCCACCUGGGAAGCCCUUAGUAUGAGCUUCCCCAAAGGGCAAUUCCAUUGAUGGGACUGGAGAUAUACUGAAUUCAUGGUGACUUAGAAGGAAAAGAAGAAGAAAGAUGAAUGUCCACAGAUGUGUGGAGGAAGCCCAGGCCUCGUGGGGAGGCUUCCUGAAGCUCUGCCAGCAAGCCCAGCUUCAGCUGCAGACGUGGUAGGGACGUCACCUCCAGUGGAGUCCAGCUCCUAGUGUUAGUAUCAACCCCAACUGUAACGAUAAGGCUUUGUAUUACACCUGGCCUUCCCAGAUGGCUCAGUGGUAAAGAAUCUACCUGCCAGUGCAGAAGACACAGGAGACAUGAGUUCCAUCCCUGAGUUUGGACGAUCCCCUGGAAACGAAAUGGCAACCCACUCCAGUAUUCUUGCCUUGAAAAUCCCAUGGACAGAGGAACCUGGUGGGCUACCAGCCAUGGGGUUUCAAAGAAUCAGAUGUUAUUGAACACAGAGGAGGAUCUGCUGGAGGAACCCCCCUGGGGCUGGAAUGAGGAACAGGGAUUGAGUACCCUGAAGGUUUAUGAAACAGCCAAAGAGAUUUCUUCAUAUUCAGGGAUAUACAUCCCUCUGCUCAGAUACAAUCUAAUUGGUGAAGGUGGGGCCCUUUGCUGCAUCAAUUUGAGGAGGAGCCCUGAUUUUUGGUUCUUACAGGUGGUGAGACCUAGAGAUUGACCUCCCAGAAAAAAGUACUGGCCCAGUUCUGGUGUCUCCAGAAGCAACUGCAUCAUUUAGAUGGUGUGGGAUUGUGUGAAGGAGGGUGUUUGGAGGUGGGCAUGUGUUGAAACCACAUAGUAUUACUGUGAAUCUGCCUGUCUGUGUAUAUCCUCAGAAAAAAAGAGGGACAUGUGCCCUCUUCAGCCUCACCUUUUCAUGCCAUGCCCUUCAUUCACACUUGCUCGUCCAGAUCUUCAUCAUCAUCAAUGACAUCCCCAAAGUGAAAGUGAAAGUGAAGUAGCUCAGUUGGGUCCAACUCUUUGGACCCCAUGGACUGUAGCCCACCAGGCUCCUCCAUCCAUGGGAUUCUCCAGGCAAGAAUACUGAAGUGGGUUGCCAUUUCCUUCUCCAGGGGAUCUUCCCAACCCAGGGAUCAAACCCAGGUCUCCCAAAUUGCAUGCAGAUGCUUUAACCUCGAGGCACCAGGGAAGCACAAUGACAUCUCCAAAAGCAUUCCUCAAAAAGAUUAACAGAGUUUUCUGACAUCUAGAAGGAAGAGAUCAGUCGGGCAGGUCCAAGCCCUUCCAGGGCAGGAAAGCAACCAUAUGCAGUAGCCCAGGGCAGUGCAGACUGUAUGGGGCCCAUUGAGCUGUGUGGGUCCAGACCUACUGACUCCAGCCUCAACUCCUGCUCAGGCCACUCAUGGUGACAAAGCCAGAUUCAAGGGUGCCGACCUGAGCUCAGGAGUGAGGACGAUGCUAAGAAAGUGGGGGAAGAGGGCUGCAGACAGAUUUCAUAUAUUUUAUAUAAGGUCCCAGGAACCCAGUUGCCUAUAAGAGACCUGGUCCUGCAGAAUGAUAAUCAUAAAAAGAUGGAAAGAGGAGAUGGGAAUAGGUUACAAGGAGAGUCUGUGGAUCAGAAAAAGAGAAAAGAAAAAAAAAAAAAAGAGAUAUGAAAGAA